rnacentral:tRNA from 1 species
GGAGACGUACCCAAGUCAGGUUGAAGGGGCUCGCUUGGAAAGCGGGUAGAAGGGCGAAAGUUCUUGCGAGGGUUCAAAUCCCUCCGUCUCCGCCA